CCCAAUCACCUUCCUCUGCCCAUUGCCUCCGCAGUGGACUUUGCAGCCUCAUUCAGCAGUGGGUACCUUGGCUGGGAAACAUCUCAGCGGGGUCCUCUGCUCUGCCACAGAUGAACUAAAAACUCUACAAAACAGUCGUGCAGUGCUUGAGAGAGAGAAAAUCCUCCUUACCUGAGGAGCAGCUGCUCCCAGCUGCUGGCACUGGGCAAGGAAGGCAAUGUGAAUAGUGAUGGAUGAGAGAAGCAUUGAAUUUCCUGCAAGCAUUCAUCCACUCCUCCUGCGAACUGGCUUUGGCUGCAUUCUCAGAAUUAUGAAGGCCAGGACAUAAGUCAUUUAAGCAGAAAGGACUGAGCGGGCCACGGGGUGCAUCAGUUGCCACACAGAGAAGAGCAGUCAAAGUCACUCUGUCAGAGGGCUGGUGGAUGCUGAUGACAGAAGGAUUCAUUUCCCAAAGCCUCUGCUGGAGAAAUGGGCUCCGUAUCCCAGGUCUCACCUUGUCCAUGAACGUAUCAGGAGCCGUCCCAGGGGUCAAAUUCUUCUCCUGCUCACAACCCUGGCAAGCCCAUCAUCUUUAAGGGUCUCACAGAAGCAUUAAUGAGAAAAAAAAUAUGGUCAUCAUCACAAUAUCCUGCUUUUAUUUUUAUGGGUGACAAAAGUGUUCUUUUCAAUGUAUUUUAGCUACGAUUCCUACAAAGUGGAAAAAACAUUCAGCUAUUUCUCAGCUGCUAGCAACAUUUCAAACCCUAACAUCAACUAUCCGUACAUAAUAGAUUUUCUUUAAAUAACUCUUGGUAAAUGCUUGACAUCUGUUUUCUCUAAUUAAUUCUAGCAGUCAUCAUACUUCACUGCAUAUGUUGAAAGCUCUCAAGGCUGAGAGCUAUCUACAGCGUUUCAGUCAUGGAAGUUUGUAUUGUAAACACUACUCCGCGAGUGCUUCAGGAUGUUUCUUUCUGACAAGUCAGGAAGAGGUGUUCAGAUCACUAGAAAAGGCGAGACACCCACUGAGUGUGAAAGUAAUGAGCCAGUACAUCUGGGGGAUGUAUUUCGGAGAGCUGGUUUUUUAUUUUAUUGCUAUUAAAUACUACACAAAAAUGAGG
ensembl:lncRNA